GGCCUGUAUUCAACUGCAUUGUUGUGAGCAGUUGGGCGCUGCAUCUCCAGAUUGGGACAGUCCUAGCUUGCAAGCAACAAUGUUGUGCAUUUGCAGGUCGAGUGCGCCGAGACUUUCGAGAAGGCGAUAUGAGCUCAAUUUUGAGGCCAGCUUGCUGGUACCCGGAUUGGAGGAAUGUUGUUCGUUUUGGAUGUGAAUGGGGGAAAGGUUUUCGGGCUCGUAUGGGUUCGAAUUGGUGUGGGGUGGCAGUUGCAUGCAACAUGUGCCUUCUGCCAAUUCGGUCCUGUGCGAGCUCACAAUCCCACUCUCGGCGUAAAAGUUGGUCAUCUAUCCGACCCGUCUUGAAACACGGACCAAGGAGUUUAUCGUGUGCGCAAGUCAUUGGGUGUUGAAAACUCAAAGGCGCAAUGAAAGUAAAGAAUCCGCAAGGAUACGACGUGUGAUCUGAGCAAUCACGAUUGCCUGGAGCAACAUGGCCCCAUUCUGGUCGCUUGCGACGGGGUGGAGGAAGAGCGUACGCGGUGAGACCCGAAAGAUGGUGAACUAUUCCUGAGCAGGAUGAAGCCAGAGGAAACUCUGGUGGAAGUCC
rnacentral:rRNA from 1 species